rnacentral:rRNA from 1 species
ACAACGCUGGCGGCGUGCCUAACACAUGCAAGUCGAGCGAUGAAAUUAGAAACGGAGUCUUCGGACAAAGAGGAAAAUGGAUUAGCGGCGGACGGGUGAGUAACACGUGAGCAACCUGCCUAUCACAUCGGGAUAGCCUCGGGAAACUGGGAUUAAUACCGAAUGAAACAUAAUCACUGCCUAGUGGAAAUGUCAAAGAUUUAUCGGUGAUAGAUGGGCUCGCGUCUGAUUAGCUAGUUGGUGAGGUAAUGGCUCACCAAGGCGACGAUCAGUAGCCGGCCUGAGAGGGUGAACGGCCACAUUGGGACUGAGACACGGCCCAAACUCCUACGGGAGGCAGCAGUGGGGAAUAUUGCACAAUGGAGGGAACUCUGAUGCAGCGACGCCGCGUGAGCGAUGAAGGCUUUCGAGUCGUAAAGCUCUGUCGAGUGGGAAGAUAAUGACGGUACCAUUUGAGAAAGCCCCGGCUAACUACGUG